UACGUAGGGUGCGAGCGUUGUCCGGAAUUAUUGGGCGUAAAGAGCUUGUAGGCGGUUGUCGCGUCUGCCGUGAAAGCCCAGGCUUAACCCUGGUCUGCGGUGGGUACGGCAGACUAGAGUGUGGUAGGGGAGACUGGAAUUCCUGGUGUAGCGGUGAAAUGCGCAGAUAUCAGGAGGAACACCGAUGGCGAAGGCAGGUCUCUGGGCCACUACUGACGCUGAGAAGCGAAAGCAUGGGGAGCAAACAGG
rnacentral:rRNA from 1 species